UUCUCUGUACCUCAGCCAUACUGAGGUCAAAGCUACAGACACAGACCGGUUCAAGCGGUUUAGGAGAAGAGCGAUGAGGUCACAACAACAACACCCAUCGCUAGACACCGACAACACUGGUCCUGAGGCUGAGCUGGAUAAUGCAGCACCCUUAAACCCAGACACUACACCUGCACCUGAGACGGAAGAUCCUGUGAAUCCACCUCCAUCGCCGGACACUGUCCACACCACUCAUGAGACUGAGCUGAAUGAAGCAGCACAUUUGUUCCCAGGAAAAUAUUGUUAGACUACUCUGUACUUGUGGCAGAGAUGGAAGGACAAGAGACUCAGCCCCAGACAAUGAAGGGAGAGAGGAAGAUAUGGAAACUGAAACAUCAGGGGAUGAUGGUGCUCCAAUGGGGAAUGAACAGCAGAACUGCACCAUGUGUGGCUCAGACUCAAAGAAAUAGUGCCAGUGAUAAGCAGAUCACAGAGAACUGUGGCUUUCUUCAGAAGCUCUCGCCUGGAGACCUAGUGUUAGCGGAUUUGAUAUUAAAGAAAGUGCUACACUGAAAAUACCUGCCUUCACCAGGGGCCACAGCAAACUUAAUGCAAAAGAUGUGGAAGAGUCCAGGACGUUAGCUCAUGUCAGGAUCCACGUGGAGCGAGUGAUAGGGUGUAUGCGCUCUAAAAUUAACAUAUUAAAUGACACAAUGCGUCUGAGAUUUGUGGUGCCCUGUGAGGGGGGGGGUAAGACUUUGCUGGAUAAAAUUGUGGUUGUGUGCUGUGCUUUGACCAAUAUGUGUCCAAGUAUUGUUGUGAAGCCAUCGUGUUAGAAUUAUACACCAUGCUCACAUCUAAUAUGUAAACUUUUUUUUGUUUUCCAAAAGAUUUUGUAAUGUCUUUUCCCACAUGUAAUGAUUUUUAGCCAU